UACGUAGGGUGCGAGCGUUGUCCGGAUUUAUUGGGCGUAAAGCGCGCGCAGGUGGUGCGGUAAGUCUGUCGUGAAAUCUCCCGGCUCAACUGGGAGGGUGCGGUGGAGACUGCCGGACUAGAGGCACUCAGAGGCCGGUGGAAUUCCCGGUGUAGUGGUGAAAUGCGCAGAUAUCGGGAGGAACACCGGUGGCGAAGGCGGUUCUCUGGGCCUUACCUGACGCUGAGGAGCGAAAGCGUGGGGAGCGAACAGG
rnacentral:rRNA from 1 species